AACGCGGAGCUAUCCUCGUACUCAGAGUUCAUGAUGACUGGAUAUCACGGAUAUUUAAAUAGAUUUCCUUAUGCGGCCAGGAGAUCGUUUCUCUUGCCUUCCCUUUUGCCAGCACGUGCAGGACUAAACCGAUUCAAAACUCUAUCCGGUUAGUCGUGACGCAUGGACCCUGCUUCCGGUCAGUCCAGCUAACGUAAAGCUACAAACAUCUCUACUGUUUAGGCUACGUCCACACGUACACGGGUAUUUUUGAAAACAGAGAUUUUCCGUUUCCGUUUUAAAAAAAUCCCGUCCACACGUGAAGUUUUGAGAAAAAUAUCUCAGUCCACGCGUAACCCCCCCUCCAACAAAACAAAAACAAAGGCAAACGCUGUAAUGAGCACGCCAAAGCAACAGGUGGCGAUAUAAUCCUAACCUUGCAGAAAUGUUGGCCAAUCGGAAGUCUUGAAGCCAGGGCGGGAAAGCAUCAACAAAGACGGUGGAACUUUUUUUUACUUCCAACUUUAUUUCUUAAGAACAAUAACAACAAAUAUAAAAAGUUUGGCUUCUUACUUGAGAACUUAAAAGCAUUCGAGUCUUUCCUACUAGAGUCAGUAUAGCCAAAUAGCACAUUUAGGUAAAAAAGCACAAAAUCCGAUAAGACAUCGCAUAGAAGCAGAACUGAGUCGUACAUGUGACAGACAGUGAGGUGGAAUUAUUCCUCAAUAUCACACUGGAAUAUGAAACAGCAAAACAAAACAAAACAAGAAAACGUGGACUGGGAGACUUGUCAGGGGAAAUAAGGCAAAACUCAAGGGCCACAGACAGGACAGACUUGAAAGAAGACUUUCAACUGAAACACAUUUGCGUAAUGUUGCAGAGGUGGACAUACAGAUGAAGAAAAGAAUUCUGGAUAUGAUGGAGACAUCUGAGAGGCGAGCUUCUGAACAUCACAGUAAAUUAUAAGUCACUCUUGAGAGACAAGUUCAGUUGCAGAUGGAUUUUUACUGCUAAGACAAGUCAUGCAUCCACCACCACAACCUUUCAACCUGCCACCACACCAUGGUGGGCACAUCUAUGCAUGUGCACCACCACCACACGCUGUACCUGGCUCAUUUCCACCCAACAGUACCAUAACUGAGCUGCCAAGCAGCACACCCUACCCACCCCUACCUUUGCAGGGAGCAGGGCAAUUUUUCUUCACACAAGCACUUUUGGAGGAUGAUAUUUGAAAUAAUCUGCAUCGUUACCUAUGCUGGGAAAUUAAUAACUUAUGUUGGGAGCUUUUGGGGCUGCAUCUGUAUGCUCAACUGUUGGCAUGUUAAAUGUUUUCUAUUAGCUAUUAUGCAGCUCAAAUCCUUUGUUCAAAACAGCACUUUGACUUUGACUUAAGUGUAAGAGGUCUUCCUCCAAAUAAUCAGACCCAACCAAUAUAACCUCUUCAAUAAAAUUAUCUUAUCUUACAUAAAUAGGCUGUUGAUUUUCUUUACUCAUUUCAGUUAUUACCAACAAAAUA